GGCCCGUUAGCUCAGUUGGUAGAGCACUUGACUUUUAAUCAAGGUGUCAAAGGUUCGAGUCCUUUACGGGUCA
rnacentral:tRNA from 1 species